rnacentral:lncRNA from 1 species
AGCGUCGGGUGUUCGCCCCCGCGGACGCAGCCCACCCUGCUUUGCCGGCGAGCUGCCACCUCCUCUGGCCCAGUGCUGGGCCUCGGUCCGGUAGAGGGAGCCCACCGGUUGGCCCCGCGCGCGGCCACCGCCGCCUCCUCCUGUCCAGUCUUCGGUCUCUACCCUAGCCCCGCGGACGCAGCCGACAAGGCCCGGCUCCGCGCUCGGCCUCCUCCCUGCUCCAGGUCCUUGGCCUGGCCCCGCAGACACAGCGCACCCGCUCGGCCCCUAGCGCAGACACCGCCGCCUCUUGGCGCCAGGUCCUCGGCCUCUCCCAAGUGGACGCAGCCUGGCCCAGAGGGGCCCCAGAGAACUCGGGCGGCUUGAGUAACCCCUGAUCGUUGGGAGAGAACCUGGGAUUUUUUCCCUUCUUUCUAGCCUAGGCUCAUGGAGAGCGCAGUUACUAUUCUAAUGCAAUGACUUAAAAUAAUUAAGCAACAUAAAUUAUGCAUGUUGGGAUUAAGGUGCAAUGUUUUCCCAAAUAUAAGCCACGCGCUUCAUGAAUGAUUAACCGAAAUAGUUAACAUGAAAACCAGUAAGUCAGCUGAGAAGAAAUUGUGGAUCCACCGCAGUGGAGGAGCGCAGGAAGGCGCCUACAGACUCCCUAGUGCUUUAGUCCAAGGUAGAAUUGUGAGGGCCACCAGCAACACAUGUAAGGUGUUUGGACCUUACCCACGGCAAGAAACUAAGGAAACCAGAAACAGUACCAAUUACUAGAAAAUUUUAAGAAGCCUGAGGCAUACGAAAAACUUUAUUUUGUUUUUUGCUCUAAGGAUUAUUUUAACUGUAAGAAAACUUAUGUUCCAAAUUACAUGUGAAGACAUUAAGCGUUGACAUUUAAACUAAUGCGUCAUCUAGAACUCUAGCAUUUGAGGACAUUAAAGGCAUUUUUGUCCUUCUGUACUGUAGGAGAAAAUCACGACAUUUCACCAGGCUACUCAGGAAUACUGUGGUUUCAUUUUAUGGUGCUCAGGUGUUUUAAAAUUAUACAUCAAAACCAAGUGUUCAGCAAUGCCAAAAGGGAUGAAAUGAAGCUUUUUUCUUUCUAUAGUUGAAAAAUUCCUUCAAGCAAGUGCUGACAUGUUUCCAUCGAAACUGUACAUUUUUUCAGUGGAAUGGCAAAAGCAAAGCUGCUUCCUAAUCCGUUUUGCUCUUUAAAAUAAUUUUCAAAAAUUAUCACAUAUCUAGGUAAUACCUAAUUUUUUUCUUCAUAGUUUUAAAUAGUUGUAAAGGAUGUAAUUUCUGACAUUCUGAUGACAUUUUUAAAUUAAACCAUUGCAUCCUUUAUAAAAAAUAUAUCCAAUAGAAUCUAAGUGUAAUAGAAACAUAAUACCCAUUUCUCCAUCUAAAAAGUUUCUGAACAAGUCAGACAUUAAUUCUUUCUCCUUUAAUUCAUUCCACUUCACCCAAAAAGUUGUAUCCUCAUAUAGUCUAUUUUUAUGCUUGAAACACACUCUUUUUUGGCAAGUAACCUCUACAAAUACAGUCAAUCAUCAUUCAAAGAGUCUGUAUUUAUGAACUCAGCUACUUGGCUAAAAAUUAUGUGUAACCCAAAAAUCAAUACUUGAAGCACUCUCAGUCAUAUAUGGACACAAGCAGAACAGUGAAAAAUUUGGAUCACCUUAUGUACACGUUCCCAGCUGUGCUUGAAUAAGGCCAUGCUCUGCCUUUUUUUUUUAGUUCUCAUUCUGUAAACAUAUGUCCUCUUCUCACUCUACUUAGUGUCACAUUUUUCAAAUUUCUAUGCUUUCCGAUGGUGAUUUCUGUUUCAAAUGGCCCCCAAACGUAGUGCUGAAAUGCUGUCUAAUGUCCCUAAGCGCAAGAAGGCUGUGAUGUGUCUUAACAGAGAAAAUACAUGUGUUAGAUAAGCUUUGUUCGGGCAUGAGUUAUAGUGCUGUUGGCCAUGAGUUCAAUGUUAAUGAAUCAACAAUACAGUGCAUUCACAUCUGUACAUGAGGCUGCUCCAGAAAGUGCUAAAGUAACAUCUAUAGUGUGUGAUGAAGCUAUGGAAAAGAUGGAAAAGCAGCUAAAAUUGUGGAUUCAUGAGACGACAACCAAUAAAAAAAGUCAUAUAUGGACUUUUGUAGUGUAGUGAGCAGUAUUGUUGUGAGGCUGAAAGCCAAAGAAAUUUACAGCCAUGUUACCCAAGGUCAGGAAAAUAUUAAACCCUUCUCAGCCAGUGCAGGCUGGCUGGCACGUUUCAAAAGGCGGUACAGCAUGAAAUCAAAUUUUAAACUUGCAGGCAAGGCAGGUUCUGCCAUAAGGAGGCUGCGGAAGAAUUUUUAAAAUGUCUGCUAAGUGUUAUACGUGAAAAGGGUUAAAGGGUUAUGGUAAAGAGCAGGUUUUCAAUGCUGAUGAGACUGCUUGUUUUAUAAGAAUGUUGGCAAAUGAACCUAUGUAAUGUAAAUGGUCACACGAGCCCCUGACUUUAAAGCAUUCAACCUUGCUAUUGUGCACCAAUGCCAAGGGCGACUUUAAGUGCAAACCUCUGAUGGUGUACAGAGCCCAAAACCCAUGAGCCCUUAAAGGGAAAAAUCUGAACUGCAUGCCAGUCCAUUGGCGGUAGAACAGAAAAGCAUGGCUGGUAUCUGAAAUAUUCUGGGAUUGGUUCCACCACUGCUUCAUUCCAGAAGUUGAACGAUAUCUCUAGGGCAAAAACCUUGCUUUCUGGGUCUUAUUAAUUUUGGAUAAUGCCCCAGUUCAUUGCACGAUGAACUUGAAAAUGCUCACCCCAACAAAGAAGUUCUUUUCAUGCCCCCAAUACUACAUCUCUCGUCCAGCCCCUCAGGGCAUAAUACAAACUUUCAAGGCACACUACACGAGGGAACUUUAUUGUAAAGCUUGUGAGGCUCUUGACGCCAACAAGGAAGCCACCAUGACAGACUACUGGAAAUCACUCACUAUACGCAGCAUUAUUGAUUAUGUUGGCACAGCGUGGGACAGCAUCAAGCAGGCUACUAUCAAUAACUGCUGGGAAAACAUUUGGCCAGACUCUGUGAAAACUUUUCAAGGCUUUGAAGGUGUUUCAGAAAAUAUAAAAAACAAUGUAAAAAAACAAUGCAUAUUGCAAGGCAAAUAAGUGGAGAAGGUUUCAAUGACAUGAAGGAAGAAGAUGUGGAGGAAAUUUUGUCAGAGAAGGCAGUAGAACCCACAAACAAAAACCUGGAUGAGAUGGCAAAACAUGGGAGCAUAGUCAGGGAUGAAAGUCACCCUAAGACUCCAAGAAUUGUCCUUCUCACAGCAGCCAAAAUAUCAGAAUAGAAUUCUGCCUUGGAAAACAUUUUCAAUGACAUGGAAGAAUGUGACCCUGUACUUGAACGUGGCCUCACAUUUAAGCACCUCACUUCCACUGCAUUUAUCCCUUAUUCUGAGAUGCUUAAAGAUUUGAGGCAAAAAGCCAGGCAGACAAGGCUGAACCAAUUUUUCUAGCCAGUUUGAGAGACAGUUGCCAACACCAUCAACAAGUUGCAAAAGACAAACUCCUAAGGUAGCUCUGCCAGAUCACAAUGUGCUGCUCUUACUGACAUCUUCCUCUUGUGCAGGGUGAGUUCCACCAGCCUCUUUUGAUUUUCAUGGGGCAAGCUAAGGUUGAUAGGGUAAACCACAGUGCACUCACUGACCAUCACACAUCCUGCAGCUCCAUUACAGUAAGACUUUAGUUAAUGUGUAUAAAACUUUAAAUGCUUAAUCUUCACUUAAUGCUUUUUUCAGGACUUUAUGUAUUUGUUAUUACUGUGCUAUACAGUAUAAAGCAUGUUCACAGUAUUCCGUGUUAUGUGAGUACUGUAUAUGUAUGUGUAUUGUGUGCAUGUGUGUACUUAUGACUGAGAAUUAAACUAGUACAGUCAUAGGAGUACAUAAUGCUGUAACUGAAACACAGUGUUUAUUAUAAAGAAAUACUGCAUAUGAGUACUUGUAAGAAAUUUAUAUUAAAUAAGCUAUCUUCAAACAAAAAUACACAUAAAACAAGGUUAUGUAUUGAUUGGUUGGCAAAAUGUUCUGGCCAGAGUCUUCGUGGAUCCUAACGCUAUAUUUCUCCUCAGAGCAGUGUUGCAUUUGUCAGUAAUUCAAUGAUCAAGGUAACUUUCUAGAACAUAACUACCACAAAUAAUGAUAAUUGACUCUACAUUUAAGAGUAUUAAGCCAUAAGAAUCUAAUUGCUAUGAUUUUUUUCUGAACUGAGUUAACACAACUAUUAUGAGUACACAAAUGAUGAAAACAAUAUGUUACCAUUUUUAUAAAUUAUUACAUAUAAAAAGCAAAGUUUUAUCUGGAAGUGUAUUUCUUUUUCUUUUCUUUUCUUUUUUUUUUUCAGAGAUAGUGGUCUCACUAUGUUGCCCAGGCUGGACUUGAACUCCUGGGCUCAAGCAAUCUGCCCGCCUCAGACUCCCAAAGUGCUGGGAUUACAGGCGUGAGCCAUCGCACCCGGACAGAAAUGGUUUUUUUAAUGAAAUGUAUAGGGCUUUUUUUUUAGUUUGUUAAUUUACCCCUGAAUGACUAUCACUUUUUGCUAGAGUGAGGUAUGGCCCAGCAUCGCUUGUUUUCCUGUCUUGGAGGAUUUUUAUGCAAACCCGGAAAAACUUUGUUCACAAAAAUAAAUACUUGAA